GGGCCUCAGCAGCUGCGGAGAGAGGAUGCGGCGAAUAUAGAAAGCUGUCGCUGAGACUGGGGGGGGGGGCGCAACAAAUUUAACUGCGCCUUUAGAAGAGGAGAAGGAGGAGGAGGAGAAGGGGGGGACCGCGUAAUGUCAGAGGAAACGCAGUUUUUGAGCGGGAGGUGCAAACGCAGCCUGGCUCGAGCGGAGGAGACAGUCGGCAGUGUCAACACAUGCACACGGCACCGACACUGGCUCGGGAGGGAAACGAUCUGCACGAGACGCCCGGAAACACGGUGCCUUUUUCGGGAGUUGUGGAGCCUGACCGGUAAUUUGAACCCAAAAAGCCACGGACGAUUUAUUGAUGCCCCAUAGAGCUGACAAUUAUACACCCCUGAUAUUAAGUUGACAAAUAAACCGUCUAAUUUGUGGUGUA